AGAGUUUGAUCCUGGCUCAGAUUGAACGCUGGCGGCAGGCCUAACACAUGCAAGUCGAACGGUAACAUUUCUAGCUUGCUAGAAGAUGACGAGUGGCGGACGGGUGAGUAAUGCUUGGGAACUUGCCUUUGCGAGGGGGAUAACAGUUGGAAACGACUGCUAAUACCGCAUAAUGUCUACGGACCAAAGGGGGCUUUUAGCUCUCGCGUAAAGAGAGGCCCAAGUGAGAUUAGCUAGUUGGUGAGGUAAAGGCUCACCAAGGCGACGAUCUCUAGCUGUUCUGAGAGGAAGAUCAGCCACACUGGGACUGAGACACGGCCCAGACUCCUACGGGAGGCAGCAGUGGGGAAUAUUGCACAAUGGGGGAAACCCUGAUGCAGCCAUGCCGCGUGUGUGAAGAAGGCCUUCGGGUUGUAAAGCACUUUCAGUUGUGAGGAAAAGUUAGUAGUUAAUACCUGCUAGCCGUGACGUUAACAACAGAAGAAGCACCGGCUAACUCCGUGCCAGCAGCCGCGGUAAUACGGAGGGUGCGAGCGUUAAUCGGAAUUACUGGGCGUAAAGCGCACGCAGGCGGUUUGUUAAGCUAGAUGUGAAAGCCCCGGGCUCAACCUGGGAUGGUCAUUUAGAACUGGCAGACUAGAGUCUUGGAGAGGGGAGUGGAAUUCCAGGUGUAGCGGUGAAAUGCGUAGAUAUCUGGAGGAACAUCAGUGGCGAAGGCGACUCCCUGGCCAAAGACUGACGCUCAUGUGCGAAAGUGUGGGUAGCGAACAGGAUUAGAUACCCUGGUAGUCCACACCGUAAACGCUGUCUACUAGCUGUUUGUGACUUUAAGUUGUGAGUAGCGAAGCUAACGCGAUAAGUAGACCGCCUGGGGAGUACGGCCGCAAGGUUAAAACUCAAAUGAAUUGACGGGGGCCCGCACAAGCGGUGGAGCAUGUGGUUUAAUUCGAUGCAACGCGAAGAACCUUACCUACACCUGACAUGCAGAGAACUUUCCAGAGAUGGAUUGGUGCCUUCGGGAACUCUGACACAGGUGCUGCAUGGCUGUCGUCAGCUCGUG
rnacentral:rRNA from 1 species